UACGUAGGGUGCGAGCGUUAAUCGGAAUUACUGGGCGUAAAGCGUGCGCAGGCGGUUCGUUGUGUCGGCGGUGAAAGCCCCGGGCUUAACCUGGGAAUGGCCGUUGAAACUGGCGAACUGGAGUGUGGCAGAGGGGGGUGGAAUUCCGCGUGUAGCAGUGAAAUGCGUAGAGAUGCGGAGGAACACCGAUGGCGAAGGCAGCCCCCUGGGCUGACACUGACGCUCAGGCACGAAAGCGUGGGGAGCAAAC
rnacentral:rRNA from 1 species